ensembl:snRNA U6 U6 spliceosomal RNA
GUGCUCACUUUGGCAGCACAUAUACUAAAAUUGGAAUGAUACAGAGAUUAGCGUGGCCUUUGUAGGGAUGGCAUGCAAAUUCAUCAAGUGAUCCAUAUUUUA